UACGUAGGGUCCGAGCGUUGUCCGGAAUUACUGGGCGUAAAGAGCUCGUAGGUGGUUUGUCGCGUUGUCCGUGAAAACUCACAGCUCAACUGUGGGCGUGCGGGCGAUACGGGCAGACUAGAGUACUGCAGGGGAGACUGGAAUUCCUGGUGUAGCGGUGGAAUGACGCAGAUAUCAGGAGGAACACCGGUGGCGAAGGCGGGUCUCUGGGCAGUAACUGACGCUGAGGAGCGAAAGCAUGGGGAGCGAACAGG
rnacentral:rRNA from 1 species